rnacentral:rRNA from 1 species
CAGGUUGAAGGUGCGGUAAAACGCACUGGAGGACCGAACCAGGGCACGUUGAAAAGUGCUUGGAUGACUUGUGGGUAGCGGAGAAAUUCCAAACGAACUUGGAGAUAGCUGGUUCUCUCCGAAAUAGCUUUAGGGCUAGCGUCGACAUUAAGAUUCUUGGAGGUAGAGCACUGUUUGGGUGAGGGGUCCAUCCCGGAUUACCAAUCUCAGAUAAACUCCGAAUGCCAAUGAAUUAUGGUCGGCAGUCAGACUGCGAGUGCUAAGAUCCGUAGUCGAAAGGGAAACAGCCCAGACCACCAGCUAAGGUCCCAAAAUAAUUGUUAAGUGGAAAAGGAUGUGGGGUUGCACAGACAACUAGGAUGUUAGCUUAGAAGCAGCUAUUCAUUCAAAGAGUGCGUAAUAGCUCACUAGUCGAGUGACCCUGCGCCGAAAAUGUACCGGGGCUAAAACAAUUUACCGAAGCUGUGGAUACCUUUAUAGGUAUGGUAGGAGAGCGUUCUAUGUGUGGAGAAGGUGUACCGUGAGGAGCGCUGGAACGCAUAGAAGUGAGAAUGCCGGUAUGAGUAGCGAAAGACAGGUGAGAAUCCUGUCCACCGUAAGACUAAGGUUUCCAGGGGAAGGCUCGUCCGCCCUGGGUUAGUCGGGACCUAAGGAGAGACCGAAAGGUGUAUCCGAUGGACAACAGGUUGAUAUUCCUGUACUAGAGUAUGUAGUGAAGGAGGGACGCAGUAGGCUAACUAAAGCGUGCGACUGGAAGUGCACGUCUAAGCAGUGAGGUGUGAAUUGAGUUAAAUGCUUAAUUCUGUAACAUUGAGCUGUGAUGGGGAGCGAAGAUUAGUAGCGAAGUUAGUGACGUCACACUGCCAAGAAAAGCUUCUAGCGUUAAUCAUACUCUACCCGUACCGCAAACCGACACAGGUAGUCGAGGCGAGUAGCCUCAGGUGAGCGAGAGAACUCUCGUUAAGGAACUCGGCAAAAUGACCCCGUAACUUCGGGAGAAGGGGUGCUGGCUUUGAGUCAGCCGCAGUGAAUAGGCCCAAGCAACUGUUUAUCAAAAACACAGCUCUCUGCUAAAUCGUAAGAUGAUGUAUAGGGGGUGACGCCUGCCCGGUGCUGGAAGGUUAAGAGGAGUGCUUAGCGCAAGCGAAGGUAUGAAUUGAAGCCCCAGUAAACGGCGGCCGUAACUAUAACGGUCCUAAGGUAGCGAAAUUCCUUGUCGGGUAAGUUCCGACCCGCACGAAAGGCGUAAUGAUUUGGGCACUGUCUCAACGAGAGACUCGGUGAAAUUUUAGUACCUGUGAAGAUGCAGGUUACCCGCGACAGGACGGAAAGACCCCAUGGAGCUUUACUGCAGUUUGAUAUUGAGUGUCUGUACCACAUGUACAGGAUAGGUAGGAGUCUAAGAGAUCGGGACGCCAGUUUCGAAGGAGACGCUGUUGGGAUACUACCCUUGUGUUAUGGCCACUCUAACCCGGAUAGGUGAUCCCUAUCGGAGACAGUGUCUGACGGGCAGUUUGACUGGGGCGGUCGCCUCCUAAAAGGUAACGGAGGCGCCCAAAGGUUCCCUCAGAAUGGUUGGAAAUCAUUCGCAGAGUGUAAAGGUAUAAGGGAGCUUGACUGCGAGAGCUACAACUCGAGCAGGGACGAAAGUCGGGCUUAGUGAUCCGGUGGUUCCG